rnacentral:rRNA from 1 species
GACGAACGCUGGCGGCGUGCUUAACACAUGCAAGUCGAGCGGAGCGGCGAACGGGUGAGUAACGCGUGAGUAACUGCACCCCUCCCGGGGAAAACAGUUGGAAACUGCUGCCAAUACCGGAUAGUGGGGGAUGACUGUGGGCCUAUCGGCUUGGUGGUGGGGUGGUGGCCUACCAAGGCGACGACGGGUAGCCGGCCUGGGAUGGGGGACGGCCACAAUGGGCUGCGGUACGGCCCAGACUCCUACGGGGGGCAGCGGUGGCGAAUAUUGUACAGUCGGGGCACCUCUGAGGCAGCAGCGUCGCGGGUGGGAUGUCGGCCUUGGGGUGGUGAACCGCUUGCAGCCAUGACGCGGUAGUGGCAGAAGAAGCACCGGCUAACUACGUGCCAGCCGCCGCGGUAAUUC